GUAGGUGAACCUGCGGAGGGAUCAUUACAGAGACUCUGCCCUUUGGGUAGACCUCCCACCCUGUGUCGUUAUACCUUCGUUGCUUUGGCGGGCCGCGGGGCCCCGGCCCCGCCCCUGGCUCCGGCUAGGGCGCGCCCGCCAGAGGACCUCAAAACCUGAAUGUUAGUGUCGUCUGAGUACUAUAUAAUAGUUAAAACUUUCAACAACGGAUCUCUUGGUUCUG
rnacentral:misc_RNA from 1 species